rnacentral:rRNA from 1 species
UACGGAGGAUGCGAGCGUUAUCCGGAAUUACUGGGUGUAAAGGGAGAGUAGGCGGCAAGGUAAGCGAUAUGUGAAAGCCUUAAGCUUAACUUAAGGAUUGCAUAACGAACUAUCUAGCUAGAGUACAGGAGAGGAAAGCGGAAUUCCUAGUGUAGCGGUGAAAUGCGUAGAUAUUAGGAGGAACACCAGUGGCGAAGGCGAUUCUCUGGGCCAAGACUGACGCUGAGGCGCGAAAGCGUGGGUAUCGAACAGG